CAGCCGCCGCGGUAAAACGGAGGGAGCUAGCGUUGUUCGGAAUUACUGGGCGUAAAGCGCACGUAGGCGGCUUUGUAAGUUAGAGGUGAAAGCCUGGGGCUCAACUCCAGAAUUGCCUUUAAGACUGCAUCGCUUGAAUUGCGGAGAGGUGAGUGGAAUUCCGAGUGUAGAGGUGAAAUUCGUAGAUAUUCGGAAGAACACCAGUGGCGAAGGCGGCUCACUGGACGCAUAUUGACGCUGAGGUGCGAAAGCGUGGGGAGCAAACAGGAUUAGAUACCCCCGUAGUCCCUGUCUCUUAUAC
rnacentral:rRNA from 1 species